rnacentral:rRNA from 1 species
ACAUGCAAGUCGAGGGGCAGCAUGGUCUUAGCUUGCUAAGGCCGAUGGCGACCGGCGCACGGGUGAGUAACGCGUAUCCAACCUGCCUUACACUCUUGGACAGCCUUCUGAAAGGGAGAUUAAUACAAGAUGUUAUCAUGAGUAAGCAUUUUCGCAUGAUUAAAGGUUUACCGGUGUAAGAUGGGGAUGCGUUCCAUUAGGUAGUAGGCGGGGUAACGGCCCACCUAGUCUUCGAUGGAUAGGGGUUCUGAGAGGAAGGUCCCCCACAUUGGAACUGAGACACGGUCCAAACUCCUACGGGAGGCAGCAGUGAGGAAUAUUGGUCAAUGGACGAGAGUCUGAACCAGCCAAGUAGCGUGAAGGGUGAAGGUUCUAUGGAUUGUAAACUUCUUUUAUACGGGAAUAAACGGAUCCACGUGUGGAUUUUUGCAUGUACCGUAUGAAUAAGGAUCGGCUAACUCCGUGCCAGCAGCCGCGGUAAUACGGAGGAUCCGAGCGUUAUCCGGAUUUAUUGGGUUUAAAGGGAGCGUAGAUGGGUUGUUAAGUCAGUUGUGAAAGUUUGCGGCUCAACCGUAAAAUUGCAAUUGAUACUGGCAGUCUUGAGUACAGUUGAGGUAGGCGGAAUUCGUGGUGUAGCGGUGAAAUGCUUAGAUAUCACGAAGAACUCCGAUUGCGAAGGCAGCUUACUAACCUGUAACUGACAUUGAUGCUCGAAAGUGUGGGUAUCAAACAGGAUUAGAUACCCUGGUAGUCCACACGGUAAACGAUGAAUACUCGCUGUAGGCAAUAUACAGUCUGCGGCCAAGCGAAAGCAUUAAGUAUUCCACCUGGGGAGUACGCCGGCAACGGUGAAACUCAAAGGAAUUGACGGGGGCCCGCACAAGCGGAGGAACAUGUGGUUU